AUGGCAUAACGAUUGAAGAUCAAGUGUAAUAUCUGUUCUUAUCAGUUUAAUAUCUUAUAUGUGGGCCAAUGGUCUGCACGAUAUUAACUCUAUUUGUUUAGGGGGAGGCCCAAUAAGGUAGCUUGCUGCCUGGACCUUCGCGCGUCGCCUUGGUGUUGCACUACUGCAAAUUAUGCUGUGCAACCGUG
rnacentral:snRNA from 1 species